UACGAGAAAGUUGGCUUCGGCCGAUAAGUAAAGUGGCGCACGGGUGAGUACGCGUGGAUAAUCUACCCUUUANUCUGGAAUAACUUACCGAAAGGUGAACUAAUACCGGAUAAUAUACCGAUUUCCCCGGAGAUCGGGAUCAAAGAAGGCCUCUGCUUGCAAGCUUUUGCUGAAGGAUGAGUCCGCGUACCAUUAGCUAGUUGGUAGGGUAACGGCCUACCAAGGCAACGAUGGUUAGCUGGUCUGAGAGGAUGAUCAGCCACACUGGAACUGAGACACGGUCCAGACUCCUACGGGAGGCAGCAGUGAGGAAUAUUGCGCAAUGGGGGCAACCCUGACGCAGCAACGCCGCGUGAGUGAGGAAGGUUUUCGGAUUGUAAAGCUCUGUCGAGCGGAAAGAAAUGCAUUAUGGCUAAUAUCCAUAGUGCUUGACGGUACCGCUAGAGGAAGCACCGGCUAACUCCGUGCCAGCAGCCGCGGUAAUACGGGGGGUGCAAGCGUUGUUCGGAAUCA
rnacentral:rRNA from 1 species